GACGAACGCUGGCGGCGUGCUUAACACAUGCAAGUCGAACGGAAAGGCCCUGCUUUUGUGGGGUGCUCGAGUGGCGAACGGGUGAGUAACACGUGAGUAACCUGCCCUUGACUUUGGGAUAACUUCAGGAAACUGGGGCUAAUACCGGAUAGGAGCUCCUGCUGCAUGGUGGGGGUUGGAAAGUUUCGGCGGUUGGGGAUGGACUCGCGGCUUAUCAGCUUGUUGGUGGGGUAGUGGCUUACCAAGGCUUUGACGGGUAGCCGGCCUGAGAGGGUGACCGGCCACAUUGGGACUGGGAUACGGCCCAGACUCCUACGGGAGGCAGCAGUAGGGAAUAUUGCACGAUGGGCGGAAGCCGGAUGCAGGAACGCCGCGUGCGGGGUGACGGCCUGCGGGUUGUAAACCGCUUUCGCCUGUGACGGAGCGUGAGUGACGGUAAUGGGUGAAGAAGCACCGGCUAACUCCGUG
rnacentral:rRNA from 1 species